GACGAACCGAGCGAACGUUGUUCGGAAUAACUGGGCUUAAAGGGCGCGUAGGCGGGCCGCCAAGUUCGAGGUGAAAUCCUCCGGCUCAACCGGAGAACUGCCUCGAAUACUGGAGGCCUCGAGGCGGGUAGGGGCACGCGGAACUGUGGGUGGAGCGGUGAAAUGCGUUGAUAUCCACAGGAACUCCGGUGGUGAAGGCGGCGUGCUGGACCAGAUCUGACGCUGAGGCGCGAAAGCCAGGGGAGCAAACGGG
rnacentral:rRNA from 1 species